CCGAGUGUGCGUUAAGUAGUGUUUGCGUUCCUCUGUGCUCAUUGAUGAGGGUCAGAAGGUCACGGGGUUAAUUGCAGUUUUAUACACUAAGUGGACAAUUAGAGGGCAUUUUAGUCGGCUUAGCUUUGAGUUUCAGGUAUCAGUGAGAGGGGGGUUGGGUUUGGCGUUCAGGGGUCAAAGAAGAUUAGCACAAAUUGCCAUUUUCACACCCUGUUCGAGGUGCAUUGGGAAAAUCCAUUAUUGAAGGUGGCGGUAAUGUACAAUUUAGCACAGAAGAAGACGAGAAGGGGGGAAUGAAGGAAGAAGAGUGUUAAUGGUGUUUACUGCUCAUCUGGAGAGAUGCCGCCAUCUUGCUGCAGGAGGUUAGAAGAUGAUGACGACUUCCUGUGUGUGUGUGUGUUGUGUGUGUCAGUUUAAGUCGUUAUCAGUGUGCGUGAACAUCACCAGCAGAAUUUACUCUCAUGUGCGACUGUCUUUGGCAUCCAGUAAUGCCUCCACACCUGUACUCGGUCAGAGCUGUGCCAUAGCCACGCCCACAAACAGGUGUCUACGUACAUCACAACGCCUCUGUCUCCUGUAACGCACGCCGGUGCAGUGGAACGUCCUGCAUCUCUGCAUGCUCCUAAUCGGUCUCUCCUGCAAUCAAGGUCAUCCAGAGUUGAAGGAUCCAGAUGUCGUACAUCACAGCAGAGACAGCCAGUACAACAUCUGGAUCCGCACCCACGGUACAAUCCAGCGUUUUGGAGCAGAUCGACAGAACUUCACAGAGAGACUUCUGUUCACUGAGGAAAGCCAAC
ensembl:lncRNA